rnacentral:rRNA from 1 species
GGGUUGUGAGGUUAAGCGACUAAGCGUACACGGUGGAUGCCUAGGCAGUCAGAGGCGAUGAAGGGCGUGCUAAUCUGCGAAAAGCGUCGGUAAGCUGAUAUGAAGCGUUACAACCGACGAUACCCGAAUGGGGAAACCCAGUGCAAUUCGUUGCACUAUUGCAUGGUGAAUACAUAGCCAUGCAAGGCGAACCGGGGGAACUGAAACAUCUAAGUACCCCGAGGAAAAGAAAUCAACCGAGAUUCCCCCAGUAGCGGCGAGCGAACGGGGAAGAGCCCAGAGUCUGAAUCAGUUUAUGUGUUAGUGGAAGCGUCUGGAAAGUCGCACGGUACAGGGUGAUAGUCCCGUACACAAAAAUGCAUAUUCUGUGAACUCGAUGAGUAGGGCGGGACACGUGACAUCCUGUCUGAAUAUGGGGGGACCAUCCUCCAAGGCUAAAUACUCCUGACUGACCGAUAGUGAACCAGUACCGUGAGGGAAAGGCGAAAAGAACCCCGGCGAGGGGAGUGAAAUAGAACCUGAAACCGUGUACGUACAAGCAGUGGGAGCACCUUCGUGGUGUGACUGCGUACCUUUUGUAUAAUGGGUCAGCGACUUAUAUUUUGUAGCAAGGUUAACCGAAUAGGGGAGCCGUAGGGAAACCGAGUCUUAACUGGGCGUCUAGUUGCAAGGUAUAGACCCGAAACCCGGUGAUCUAGCCAUGGGCAGGUUGAAGGUUGGGUAACACUAACUGGAGGACCGAACCGACUAAUGUUGAAAAAUUAGCGGAUGACUUGUGGCUGGGGGUGAAAGGCCAAUCAAACCGGGAGAUAGCUGGUUCUCCCCGAAAGCUAUUUAGGUAGCGCCUCGUGAACUCAUCUUCGGGGGUAGAGCACUGUUUCGGCUAGGGGGUCAUCCCGACUUACCAAACCGAUGCAAACUCCGAAUACCGAAGAAUGUUAUCACGGGAGACACACGGCGGGUGCUAACGUCCGUCGUGAAGAGGGAAACAACCCAGACCGCCAGCUAAGGUCCCAAAGUCAUGGUUAAGUGGGAAACGAUGUGGGAAGGCACAGACAGCCAGGAUGUUGGCUUAGAAGCAGCCAUCAUUUAAAGAAAGCGUAAUAGCUCACUGGUCGAGUCGGCCUGCGCGGAAGAUGUAACGGGGCUAAACCAUGCACCGAAGCUGCGGCAGCGACACUUAGGUGUUGUUGGGUAGGGGAGCGUUCUGUAAGCCGUUGAAGGUGACCUGUGAGGGUUGCUGGAGGUAUCAGAAGUGCGAAUGCUGACAUAAGUAACGAUAAUGCGGGUGAAAAACCCGCACGCCGGAAGACCAAGGGUUCCUGUCCAACGUUAAUCGGGGCAGGGUGAGUCGACCCCUAAGGCGAGGCUGAAAAGCGUAGUCGAUGGGAAACAGGUUAAUAUUCCUGUACUUGGUGUUACUGCGAAGGGGGGACGGAGAAGGCUAGGCUAUCCGGGCGACGGUUGUCCCGGUUUAAGCAUGUAGGCGGAGUGACCAGGUAAAUCCGGUUGCUUAUCAACGCUGAGGUGUGAUGACGAGCCACUACGGUGGUGAAGUAGUUGAUGCCAAGCUUCCAGGAAAAGCCUCUAAGCAUCAGGUAACAUUAAAUCGUACCCCAAACCGACACAGGUGGUCAGGUAGAGAAUACUCAGGCGCUUGAGAGAACUCGGGUGAAGGAACUAGGCAAAAUGGUGCCGUAACUUCGGGAGAAGGCACGCUGGCGGUAGGUGAAGAGACUUGCUCUCGGAGCUGAAGCCAGUCGCAGAUACCAGCUGGCUGCAACUGUUUAAUAAAAACACAGCACUGUGCAAACACGAAAGUGGACGUAUACGGUGUGACGCCUGCCCGGUGCUGGAAGGUUAAUUGAUGGGGUCAGCCGCAAGGCGAAGCUCUUGAUCGAAGCCCCAGUAAACGGCGGCCGUAACUAUAACGGUCCUAAGGUAGCGAAAUUCCUUGUCGGGUAAGUUCCGACCUGCACGAAUGGCGUAAUGAUGGCCAGGCUGUCUCCACCCGAGACUCAGUGAAAUUGAACUCGCUGUGAAGAUGCAGUGUACCCGCGGCAAGACGGAAAGACCCCGUGAACCUUUACUAUAGCUUGACACUGAACAUUGAGCCUUGAUGUGUAGGAUAGGUGGGAGGCAUUGAAGUGUGGACGCCAGUCUGCAUGGAGCCAACCUUGAAAUACCACCCUUUAAUGUUUGAUGUUCUAACUCGGCCCCAUAAUCUGGGGUGAGGACAGUGUCUGGUGGGUAGUUUGACUGGGGCGGUCUCCUCCCAAAGAGUAACGGAGGAGCACGAAGGUUAGCUAAUCACGGUCGGACAUCGUGAGGUUAGUGCAAAGGCAUAAGCUAGCUUGACUGCGAGAGUGACGGCUCGAGCAGGUACGAAAGUAGGUCUUAGUGAUCCGGUGGUUCUGAAUGGAAGGGCCAUCGCUCAACGGAUAAAAGGUACUCCGGGGAUAACAGGCUGAUACCGCCCAAGAGUUCAUAUCGACGGCGGUGUUUGGCACCUCGAUGUCGGCUCAUCACAUCCUGGGGCUGAAGUAGGUCCCAAGGGUAUGGCUGUUCGCCAUUUAAAGUGGUACGCGAGCUGGGUUUAGAACGUCGUGAGACAGUUCGGUCCCUAUCUGCCGUGGGCGUUGGAAGAUUGAGAGGGGCUGCUCCUAGUACGAGAGGACCGGAGUGGACGAAUCACUGGUGUUCGGGUUGUCAUGCCAAUGGCAUUGCCCGGUAGCUAAAUUCGGAAGAGAUAACCGCUGAAAGCAUCUAAGCGGGAAACUUGCCUCGAGAUGAGUCUUCCCUGGGGCUUUAAGCCCCCUGAAGGAACGUUAAAGACUAUGACGUUGAUAGGCUGGGUGUGUAAGUGCAGCGAUGCAUUGAGCUAACCAGUACUAAUGAUCCGUGAGGCUUAACCUUACAACACCAAAGGUGUUUUG